rnacentral:lncRNA from 1 species
AUUUUUGUUAUGUUGUCGGUACGAUAUUUUGUUUAUUUCUAGCUGUAGUUCACCGUUGAUAUAGUUACAAUAUAGUACUUGUUUUGUUAACAGGAUAAUGUAUUCAGUUUCAGUGAUAACAAAUGAAUUAUCCAGCUUGAAUGAAUUAGAAAAAUAUAUUAACAAUGGAAAAAAUAUAACACUUGAUAUUGCCCGAAAUCUGUUGCAUACAGAUAGAAAAGAAUCAUCUGAAGAUAUGCUGAAACAAUUAAGUGAAUACAUGUUGGAAUUUUUAUCUUUAGAACGUGAAAUAUCACAAUUUCAAGAUGCUGCAAGUAUAGUCAAACAAAAGAUUUCUUAAUACCAUCAACUCCCAUUGGUCUUUUCUGAGAAGCUUUAGCUGCAUUGAAC